UACGUAGGGAGCAAGCGUUGUCCGGAAUCAUUGGGCGUAAAGCGCGCGUAGGUGGCCUCAUAAGUCCGCUGUGAAAGUCAAAGGCUCAACCUUUGAAAGCCGGUGGAUACUGUGAGGCUAGAGUACGGAAGAGGCGAGUGGAAUUCCUGGUGUAGCGGUGGAAUGCGCAGAUAUCAGGAGGAACACCAAUAGCGAAGGCAGCUCGCUGGGACGUUACUGACGCUGAGGCGCGAGAGCGUGGGGAGCGAACAGG
rnacentral:rRNA from 1 species